GACCGACACAGAGACGCAGCAGCAAAAACAAAACAAAAAAAACUUGGAAGCUUGACACAAUGAACAUUGUAAAUCGAUGAAUUGAACGAUGAAGUUGUCUAUGUGAGCGCUGUUAUGCUUGCUCCUAACAUUCUACUUCUCAGAAAGCUCACGACGGUUCGGUAAGGCGACACAACAUGGCUCUUACAAUACAGAUGCAUUUUAAACACACAAAACGGAAAUUACAGGACGGGGGCUACUACUACAGCUUCUUCCGGAUAUGAUUAAUCCAAGGGAUGAUGAUGGCCUACCGCACCGCAACGCACCAACCAUCAGGCGUACGAGAACUUCAACGUGCCUAAAUUCAACAAACUUCCAGUCGGCGACUCUACCACCAGAACGAACCCGACCAUGUGGAUGGGAGAAGAAAGCGCGAGAGAAAGAGUCAUAAUCACCAUCAUCAUCACCAUCACCAUCGUGAUUACUACCCGUCCAGCACCCAUGCCCUCCAUCCAUCCAUCGACUCUUCCAGUGUACACACACACCGUUGCCGAAGGUCGUGUUUAUGAACCCAUUGGAAAGAAAUACAAACCUCCCAUUCCCCGGAUCACACCGAACUGGGAUCAAAUCAUGCAGAAAGGAUUCAUAUUUCUGCGUCCCCCAUCCCAACCCAUGGAGUGUGACUUCCACGCUCUGCGCUCAAACGCAAGCUGUCCCCAUGGCACUAUUUCGCCCAACAACGGCGCACUCUCUGUGGUGAAAUUGCACAGCUUCCACAUCCCAUCUCGCGUCGGCGCUUCCAACGCCAGCUGUCGAUGAAUGAUGAUAAAUUUGUAAUUAAUUGAUGAAAAAUGGCAUCACCAUCCGAGUGUGCGAGCGGGGAAAAGCACCACAGCACGGAGAAAAGCUCGGGCGAAGAACGUCGUCGAAGCCGCACACGAACGAACGAACAACAAAACAAAAAACAGUAAACGCCACAGAACCCAAUUCUGCCCCCUCCCAUUCCAUUCCCGCUGUUCUGUUGAUCCACUACCGAAUUGCGGAGUUUUGUUUGUGUUAUAACUUCUCCCCGUCGUCGGAACGUCGUUCUCAACACCGGAAGAAAGAUGAUACUAAUUUACCCGUCAUAAGCAGACAUCGUGGAACCGAGACGAGCGAGAGGCUUCGUUCGUCUAGCAAACCAAACGAAAAAAUGGCCAACCAAGGGGCAGAGCGAGCAGAGAUAGAAUGAAACAGAACCAAUAGAACAGCGCGCAACAGCAGGAGCAACAAUGGUUCACCGUGAAGGCUGCGCACGCCACGCCAUAGGGAAGGAAAACUUGACAGGACCAACUCUCUCGCAUCAACGUGGUCCCCACCAACACCACCACCACCAUCACCAACGUCCGACGAAAUGAACGAGGAUGCGAGAGGAUCCGUGUGAAGGAUUUCACAUCAGGAAUUCCAUUCUCAGGCAUGUCGCUGGAAUGCCUUCAUCACUCUUCUUCCUGCCGCCAUUCAUCGUUUACGGUUGGUUCGUUUGCCAGUUUUCGGACACAUGCUUACAUACUGAACGGAACCGGGACACAAAAAGUACUUCGGAUGUUCUAAAAAUUGUAACCCGCAAAAUAUGUCUAUCCCGGGUCUCUCCGUCACAUGCGAGCGUCACAGCGUCACAGAAGGGCACCCGUAAAAAGGACACCCUCGUUGAGAUGGCCUUUUGCAACAACAAAAAAAUCCUUUCCUACUUUUGCAUUCUUACGCAAAAUGGCGUGUAUAUGCGAAAAUGAGCGACGCAAACACCAACCGAAACCAAACCUUCCGGCUUUCAUGAGCUCCAAGAGUUUUAACUAUCUAUUGUUUUCUUGAUUCUUGAAUAGACAACAUUUGUGUUCUUCUUUGUGUGUGUGUUUGUUUUUUUUUUCUUUUUUCCCCUCUGAUGCUGCGCCUCGAAGCUGUCCGGGAUACACCGUUACAAUGAGUGGUAUACUCACGCUUCUGACACUGAACAGAUAAAGCUAUAUUGCACAAUAGGGGAAAGAAACAUACACACCUACAUACAUAUCAAGUAUCUUCCAUUCGGGAAACACUCACGGACGCACACACACACAACCAGCAAAGUUCCCCCCUGCGUGCAACAAAACAUCAACAAAUAAACGAAUGAGCGCUCCGUACAAGCUCCUUGCCACACAGCCUCGCCUCCGGGAAUUUUAAAUCGACUAACAACACAGUUUGAUCGCAGAGACCUCCGUACCAAGCACUCCAACCAGGAAGAAUAAACAACAAACAUGACGAACGUCCGGAGUUUUUACGAACAGCAGAGAGAGAAAAAAAAACAACUUUCUGCAAUUGUUAAGCAAAGCAUGAGUAAGGUGAUGGAAGGCGAAUUUUCAAGCAACGCAGCCCUUUUCAUUGUUGCGCUCCGUUUUUCGCUCCCGAUGAUAGGAGAACGCGGUCCGUUACGUUUCUUCAGUAUGCUUUAACAUAUCCGCGAAGCGGACGCAUGGUGGCGUAAAGCACCGGAUGAUGAUGUCGGAUGGGAUAGCGAAGCAGGUGGAGCGGGAUGAGCAAAUGACUUAAUGUAUGAAUGACAAAACAUUUCCCAUUACUGCUGUACACCCGGUCGCCCAUUAUUGUAAUUGUUCGUUUAGAAAAUGAAAGCGUUACUGCCCUUUCUGUCGGAGGAGAACAAGAGCUUCCUUCAAUAGAAAUGGUUCACACAGAGAAUGUAAUCUACUCCGCGUGAUUCCAUGUGUCAGAGGUUUGUAAAGACAGGGAAAUUAUAGAUGGUUCGAACGGAAGUUACAAGGACCACAGAUAAAGCAACGAACGUGUGCUGCACUUCUCUUGAGAAAUUGAAAUAAACGAGACUUCAACGGUUGAACUGAAUUAAACCAUGAUA